rnacentral:rRNA from 1 species
CUUGAACGCUGGCGGCAUGCCUUACACAUGCAAGUCGAACGGUAACAGGUCUUCGGAUGCUGACGAGUGGCGAACGGGUGAGUAAUACAUCGGAACGUGCCUAGUAGUGGGGGAUAACUACUCGGAAGAGUGGCUAAUACCGCAUGAGAUCUACGGAUGAAAGCAGGGGAUCGCAAGACCUUGUGCUUCUAGAGCGGCCGAUGGCAGAUUAGGUAGUUGGUGGGAUAAAAGCUUACCAAGCCGACGAUCUGUAGCUGGUCUGAGAGGACGAUCAGCCACACUGGGACUGAGACACGGCCCAGACUCCUACGGGAGGCAGCAGUGGGGAAUUUUGGACAAUGGGCGCAAGCCUGAUCCAGCAAUGCCGCGUGCAGGAUGAAGGCCUUCGGGUUGUAAACUGCUUUUGUACGGAACGAAAAGCCUUGGGUUAAUACCCUGGGGUCAUGACGGUACCGUAAGAAUAAGCACCGGCUAACUACGUGCCAGCAGCCGCGGUAACAC